GAUGAAGAACGUAGCGAAAUGCGAUAAGUAAUGUGAAUUGCAGAAUUCAGUGAAUCAUCGAAUCUUUGAACGCACAUUGCGCCCGCCAGCAUUCUGGCGGGCAUGCCUGUUCGAGCGUCAUUUCAACCCUCAAGCUCUGCUUGGUGUUGGGGCCCUACGGUUGACGUAGGCCCUUAAAGGUAGUGGCGGACCCUCUCGGAGCCUCCUUUGCGUAGUAACUAACGUCUCGCAUUGGGAUUCGGAGGGACUCUUGCCGUAAAACCCCCAAAUUUUCUAAUGGUUGACCUCGGAUCAGGUAGGUAUACCCGCUGAACUUAAGCAUAUCAAUAAGCGGAGGA
rnacentral:misc_RNA from 1 species